GAUGAACGCUGGCGGCGUGCCUAAUACAUGCAAGUCGAGCGAACGGACGAGAAGCUUGCUUCUCUGAUGUUAGCGGCGCACGGGUGAGUAACACGUGGAUAACCUACCUAUAAGACUGGGAUAACUUCGGGAAACCGGAGCUAAUACCGGAUAAUAUUUUGAACCGCAUGGUUCAAAAGUGAAAGACGGCCUUGCUGUCACUUAUAGAUGGAUCCGCGCUGCAUUAGCUAGUUGGUAAGGUAACGGCUUACCAAGGCGACGAUGCAUAGCCGACCUGAGAGGGUGAUCGGCCACACUGGAACUGAGACACGGUCCAGACUCCUACGGGAGGCAGCAGUAGGGAAUCUUCCGCAAUGGGCGAAAGCCUGACGGAGCAACGCCGCGUGAGUGAUGAAGGUCUUCGGAUCGUAAAACUCUGUUAUUAGGGAAGAACAUAUGUGUAAGUAACUGUGCACAUCUUGACGGUACCUAAUCAGAAAGCCACGGCUAACUACGUG
rnacentral:rRNA from 1 species